GCAAGUCGAACGCGAAAGCAUCUCUUCGGAGAAGCGAGUAGAGUGGCGCACGGGUGAGUAACGCGUAGAUAAUCUACCCUCGUAUUUGGGAUAACCACUCGAAAGGGUGGCUAAUACCGGAUAGUCUUUAUUUGCCGCAAGGUAUUAUAGAGUAAAGGUGACCUCUCGGAGAAGUUGCCGUAUGGGGAUGAGUCUGCGUACCAUUAGCUAGUAGGUGGGGUAAAAGCCUACCUAGGCUACGAUGGUUAGCGGGUCUGAGAGGAUGAUC
rnacentral:rRNA from 1 species